rnacentral:rRNA from 1 species
GAUUCCUACGGGGGGCAGCAGUGGGGAAUAUUGCACAAUGGGGGAAACCCUGAUGCAGCGACGCCGCGUGAGUGAAGAAGUAUUUCGGUAUGUAAAGCUCUAUCAGCAGGGAAGAAGAAAGACGGUACCUGACUAAGAAGCCCCGGCUAACUACGUGCCAGCAGCCGCGGUAAUACGUAGGGGGCAAGCGUUAUCCGGAUUUACUGGGUGUAAAGGGUGCGUAGGCGGAAGGUUAAGUCAGCGGUCAAAUGUCGGUGCUCAACACCGGCCUGCCGUUGAAACUGGUCUUCUUGAGUGAGCGAGAA